CCCCUCUCAGGUUCACACCUGGAGAGUUUCCAGUACCCUACCAGUCACAACUACGGGAGGGAGAGUCAGGCAGAGGCCUGUCCAUUCCAUUCCUAACUUGGGCUGUGGCUAGUGAGUGGAAGACAAUCUGCUACAAGU